GUGUAGAGGAGGUAGGUAGUCUAGUGGUUAGAGUGUAGAGGAGGUAGGUAGCCUAGUGGUUAGAGUGUAGAGGAGGUAGGUAGCCUAGUGGUUAGAGUGUAGAGGAGGCAGGUAGUCUAGUGGUUAGAGUGUAGAGGAGGCAGGUAGCCUAGUGGUUAGAGUGUAGAGGAGGUAGGUAGCCUAGUGGUUAGAGUGUAGAGGAGGUAGGUAGCCUAGUGGUUAGAGUGUAGAGGAGGUAGGUAGUCUAGUGGUUAGAGUGUAGAGGAGGUAGGUAGCCUAGUGGUUAGAGUGUAGAGGAGGUAGGUAGCCUAGUGGUUAGAGUGUAGAGGAGGUAGGUAGUCUAGUGGUUAGAGUGUAGAGGAGGCAGGUAGCCUAGUGGUUAGAGUGUAGAGGAGGCAGGUAGUCUAGUGGUUAGAGUGUAGAGGAGGUAGGUAGCCUAGUGGUUAGAGUGUAGAGGAGGCAGGUAGUCUAGUGGUUAGAGUGUAGAGGAGGCAGGUAGCCUAGUGGUUAGAGUGUAGAGGAGGCAGGUAGUCUAGUGGUUAGAGUGUAGAGGCGGCAGGGUAGCCUAGUGGUUAGAGUGUAGAGGAGGUAGGUAGCCUAGUGGUUAGAGUGUAGAGGAGGCAGGUAGCCUAGUGGUUAGAGUGUAGAGGAGGCAGGUAGUCUAGUGGUUAGAGUGUAGAGGAGGCAGGUAGUCUAGUGGUUAGAGUGUAGAGGAGGCAGGUAGUCUAGUGGUUAGAGUGUAGAGGAGGCAGGUAGUCUAGUGGUUAGAGUGUAGAGGAGGCAGGUAGUCUAGUGGUUAGAGUGUAGAGGAGGCAGGUAGCCUAGUGGUUAGAGUGUAGAGGAGGCAGGUAGCCUAGUGGUUAGAGUGUAGAGGAGGUAGGGUAGCCUAGUGGUUAGAGUGUAGAGGAGGUAGGUAGUCUAGUGGUUAGAGUGUAGAGGAGGUAGGGUAGCCUAGUGGUUAGAGUGUAGAGGAGGUAGGGUAGCCUAGUGGUUAGAGUGUAGAGGAGGUAGGGUAGCCUAGUGGUUAGAGUGUAGAGGAGGCAGGUAGUCUAGUGGUUAGAGUGUA